UACAGAGGUCCCAAGCGUUAUCCGGAUUUAUUGGGUUUAAAGGGUGCGUAGGCGGUUUAUUAAGUCAGUGGUGAAAGCCCGGAGCUCAACUUCGGAACUGCCAUUGAUACUGAUAGACUUGAGUACAGAUGAAGUGGGCGGAAUGUGACAAGUAGCGGUGAAAUGCUUAGAUAUGUCACAGAACACCGAUUGCGAAGGCAGCUCACUAAAGUGUAACUGACGCUGAGGCACGAAAGCGUGGGGAUCAAACAGG
rnacentral:rRNA from 1 species